CUCUUGAGCAGCUGGGGCUAUAGGCACGUACCACCAUGCCCAGCUGAUUUUUUUAAAAAAAAUUUUCAUAGAGACAUGCAUACAUGUCCAUACACACAGCACUGAGAAAGCCUUAAACAAUGACACACAUGUAACAAUAAGUAUAUCUAGUACCUAAUUGUGUCUUAUAAACAUCAUUGUUUGCCAAAAGCCAGGUCUCCAUGGAGAGGAGGAAUACAAGACGAUCCUGAGGUAUCUCAUGCUGAAAAGUAAGAACAUUCUUAAAGAAUGAGAAAGCAUAUCAAAAGGACAAAAAGGCAGCUUGAAGGAGCUCCCACAUGUCAAAUCUAGGACAAUGGAUAAAAUCAACUGCUGUUAACUAUAGUUCUGGUGCACAUGUGAAGAACAUACAGGAUUGCUGCAUAGAAAGCCAAGAUUUCGCCAUGCUGGUGAGGCUGGUCUUGAAUUUCUGACCCCAGACGAUCCACCCACCUCGGC
rnacentral:lncRNA from 13 species